GCGGUCCCCGAGGCCCUCGCCCCGCUGCCGGGCACCGCGCGGCGCCGCGCCUCCCGCACGGCCCGGCCGGUGGAUCUGCGCCCGAUGGCCCGCAGGAAACGAAGGAAGAGACGGGUCCGGAGCAAAGGGGCUGCUCCCGGCAGCGUGCUCGGCCAGGGCUGCCGCACGCACCGAAACUCGCCCGAAAGGUCUUUGCGAGAAGUGCGUGUGGGAGACGUGGGACAGCUUCACCUCUGCUGCCUUCGCAAGGGAAGAGGCCUCACCUGCUCAGUUCCUGAUUGGCUGCAGCAGGAUUUUCCCCGAAGUGUGUAUCAAGCAGACCAGCAGUCCAGUUAGUGAAGUUGUAAAGUCUGGCUGGAGGAAAAUGACCAGUGCUGCUGUUUGUGUCACAGUAAUCAAUGUGCUCCUUACUGAACCAGGCAUUAGAAUGACUUACCAGAAGGUGUCCCUUAAGAAAAGAUGGAGAAACAGGGUUGGAAAAUCUGGAGUUGACCAUGAGCUUCCACCUACCUUCAAUUAAAGGUACUUGGGGAGCACAUAAAGCAUUUACGUGAUUUCUGCAUUGAACUAACUGAACUGGGCUUGAGCAUCGUCAAUCUGCAAACCCAAGUUCUUACUGGAAGAUUCAGUGCUGCUGCAUCCACGGGCUGAUGAAACGGCCAGGAAAAGUUGUGUCGCCACAUGGCUUUCAUGACCACUCUCUGUAAGUACUGAAGU